rnacentral:rRNA from 1 species
UACGGAGGGAGCUAGCGUUGUUCGGAAUUACUGGGCGUAAAGCGCACGUAGGCGGCGCAGCAAGUCAGGUGUGAAAGCCCCGGGCUCAACCUGGGAAUUGCAUUUGAGACUGAAUAGCUAGGGUGCGGAAGAGGGAAGCGGAAUUUCCGGUGUAGCGGUGAAAUGCGUAGAUAUCGGAAGGAACACCAGUGGCGAAAGCGGCUUCCUGGUCCAGCACCGACGUCAGGCACGAAAGCGUGGGGAGCAAACAGG